CUACGUGCCAGCAGCCGCGGUAAUACGUAGGUCCCGAGCGUUGUCCGGAUUUAUUGGGCGUAAAGCGAGCGCAGGCGGUUAGAUAAGUCUGAAGUUAAAGGCUGUGGCUUAACCGUAGUACGCUUUGGAAACUGUUUAACUUGAGUGCAAGAGGGGAGAGUGGAAUUCCAUGUGUAGCGGUGAAAUGCGUAGAUAUAUGGAGGAACACCGGUGGCGAAAGCGGCUCUCUGGCUUGUAACUGACGCUGAGGCUCGAAAGCGUGGGGAGCAAACAGGAUUAGAUACCCUGGUAGUCCACGCCGUAAACGAUGAGUGCUAGGUGUUAGACCCUUUCCGGGGUUUAGUGCCGCAGCUAACGCAUUAAGCACUCCGCCUGGGGAGUACGACCGCAAGGUUGAAACUCAAAGGAAUUGACGGGGGCCCGCACAAGCAGUGGAGCAUGUGGUUUAAUUCGAAGCAACGCGAAGAACCUUACCAGGUCUUGACAUCCCUCUGACCGCUCUAGAGAUAGAGCUUUC
rnacentral:rRNA from 1 species